GUUCAUGUAUUUCAAUCUCUUCGCAGUUCAGGCAAAACUGUUUUGUCUGCCAAUCGUCUUAUGCAGAUCUAGAUCUAAGGUCAGCUGCUCAGAUGGAAAACAUUGUCAGUAUCUACAAAAAUAUGGAUGCCGCGUUUAGCACAAGCCGCUCUCAACCUUCUCUCAGUCUCAUGCUUCUGAUGAAAAGGAUCCUAUGACUCAAAGCCUUGAUUUAGCCAAUACAGUUGCGAAGAUGCAG